AAGAAAGCUAAGGCGUAUCUUACCAAGC
rnacentral:sRNA from 1 species